rnacentral:rRNA from 1 species
UACGUAGGGUGCGAGCGUUAAUCGGAAUUACUGGGCGUAAAGCGUGCGCAGGCGGCUUGCCAAGUCAGAUGUGAAAGCCCCGGGCUCAACCCGGGAACGGCGUUUGAAACUGGCAGGCUAGAGUUUGGCAGAGGGGGGUGGAAUUCCUGGUGUAGCGGUGGAAUGCGCAGAUAUCAGGAGGAACACCAAUAGCGAAGGCAGCUCGCUGGGACGUUACUGACACUGAGGCGCGAAAGCGUGGGGAGCAAACAGG